rnacentral:lncRNA from 1 species
CCUGUGUGAGUCGUAUGCCAGCCGUGAGUCUCAAGACUCGAGCUGAAGCGUUGUUAGUCGAGCCACCUUCAGUUUUAGCCGUCUGCAACAUAUUUAAGCCCUUGGUGAGUUUUUGCUUAAUUCUCGUUGUGUUUGGUACACCCAAAUAAUUAUUGUUUUGGGUCUAAAAUGAGUUAGCACUGGAAUGAGUUGAAUUAUGUUGUUUGAGAUGGUCGUAUAAAUAGUUACUUUGAAAACCAUAUUAUGAUUUAGAUAUAGUAUUAUUUGUUGAGGCAUGCUAUAAUCAAAUAUGUUACUUUUGAGUUAUGUGUAAUUGAGCUAAGAUGUUGAUCUUAUGAUAAACAUGUAUAGGCUAUAGUGUUCUGUUAGUUUUGCCUAUUAGAGUUGUACCGUAUGGGGGUCCAUCAGGGUCACCACCUAUGUAUGCAUGUGUGACUUGUUUGAGAUGUGAUUCGACGGGAUCACUUACAGUCUGACUCUCCUAUAGGAUGAUUCCUUCGGGUUCACCGAGAGCCUAGAUGUGUCCCUACGGAACCACUUGAUAGUAUGCGUUCGGGAGCGCAAUAGUAUGCGGUACCAUGUUACAGGACUCUAACGAAAGGUUAACAGACACAUAGUGAGACCACUAUGGGUCUCUUACUAAGUAUAAAUUUAUACUCACUCUUUUAAAUGUUUAAUUUCAGGUAAGGGUAGAGGCAAGGGCAUAAUAGCGAAUGAUAAGAAGUGAUCAUAGAUCGCCAUAGGGAACAAUUCAG